rnacentral:rRNA from 1 species
UACGUAGGGGGCUAGCGUUGUCCGGAAUCAUUGGGCGUAAAGCGCGCGUAGGCGGCCAGAUAAGUCCGGUGUGAAAGUCACAGGCUCAACCUGUGAAUGCCGCUGGAAACUGUCUGGCUAGAGUCCGGAAGGGGCGAGUGGAAUUCCUAGUGUAGCGGUGAAAUGCGCAGAUAUCAGGAGGAACACCAAUGGCGUAGGCAGCUCGCUGGGACGGUACUGACGCUGAGGCGCGAAAGCGUGGGGAGCAAACAGG